GUUGGACACACAGGAACAGAGGGGUUGAGGGUCCUGCUCAAUGAGCUUACAUGCAAGAGGGAGUGGGGUAAAGUGACACAAAAGGUAGCAGUUGCAAGAGAGGAAUCAGUCGGGAGCUAUUAACAGUUUAAUCAAUACGCUUUUAUGACGAAGUGGGUUUUUAAUGAUUUUUUGAAGGACUGGAGACUGGGUGAGCAUAUAACGGAGGAGGGAAGUAAGUUCCACAGGAAUGAUGCAGCCCUCGAGAAGUCUUGAAGGCGAGCAUCAGAGGUGGGAGUACGGACAGAAAAUAGACAUAAGUCUUCAGCAGAGCGUAAGGCCCUAGACGGGACAUACUUGUGUAUUAGGGAGGAUAGAUAGGUGGGAGCAGCAUUAUGUAGAGAUUUGAAAGCAAGAACUAGAAUUUUAAAUCGGGCCCUAUAUUUUACAGGAAGCCAAUGUAGGGACUGAUAGAAGGGUGAGGCGUGGGAGGUGCGGGCGGACAGGAAGAUGAGCCUCGCCGCCUCAUUCAUUAUGGACUGUAACCGUGCAAGUUGGGAGCACAUAAGACCACUG